GGAUUGGUGGUUCGAUGUAGAGUUUUUGCCUUCCAUGUGAGAGAUCCAGGUUCAAUUCCUGGUCAAUAUG
rnacentral:tRNA from 1 species